rnacentral:rRNA from 1 species
UACGUAGGUGGCAAGCGUUGUCCGGAUUUACUGGGCGUAAAGAGCGCGCAGGCGGUCGUUCAAGUCGCGUGUGAAAGCCCCCGGCUCAACUGGGGAGGGUCACGCGAUACUGAUCGACUCGAAGGCAGGAGAGGGUAGUGGAAUUCCCGGUGUAGUGGUGAAAUGCGUAGAUAUCGGGAGGAACACCAGUGGCGAAGGCGACUACCUGGCUGUUCUUGACGCUGAGGAGCGAAAGCAUGGGGAGCGAACAGG